rnacentral:rRNA from 1 species
GAUGAACGCUGGCGGCGUGCCUAAUACAUGCAAGUCGAACGCAUAGCGAAAGGUGCUUGCACCUUUCACGUGAGUGGCGAACGGGUGAGUAACACGUGGACAACCUGCCUCAAGGCUGGGGAUAACAUUUGGAAACAGAUGCUAAUACCGAAUAAAACUUAGUGUCGCAUGACACAAAGUUAAAAGGCGCUUCGGCGUCACCUAGAGAUGGAUCCGCGGUGCAUUAGUUAGUUGGUGGGGUAAAGGCCUACCAAGACAAUGAUGCAUAGCCGAGUUGAGAGACUGAUCGGCCACAUUGGGACUGAGACACGGCCCAAACUCCUACGGGAGGCUGCAGUAGGGAAUCUUCCACAAAGGGCGAAAGCCUGAUGGAGCAACGCCGCGUGUGUGAUGAAGGCUUUCGGGUCGUAAAGCACUGUUGUAUGGGAAGAACAGCUAGAAUAGGAAAUGAUUUUAGUUUGACGGUACCAUACCAGAAAGGGACGGCUAAAUACGUG